GUGGGGAAUUUUGCGCAAUGGGCGAAAGCCUGACGCAGCAACGCCGCGUGGGUGAUGAAGGUCUUCGGAUCGUAAAACCCUGUCGUCAGGGACGAAGGUUGCAUAUCUAAUAGGUAUGUAACUUGACGGUACCUGGAGAGGAAGCCCCGGCUAACUCUGUGCCAGCAGCCGCGGUAAUACAGAGGGGGCAAGCGUUAUUCGGAAUUAUUGGGCGUAAAGGGCGCGUAGGCGGUGUCUUAAGUGAGAUGUGUAAUCCCCGAGCUUAACUUGGGAACUGCAUCUCAGACUGGGGUGCUAGAGUGCUGGAGAGGGUGGUAGAAUUCCACGUGUAGCGGUGAAAUGCGUAGAGAUGUGGAGGAAUACCAGUGGCGAAGGCGGCCACCUGGACAGUAACUGACGCUGAGGCGCGAAAGUGUGGGGAGCAAACAGGAUUAGAUACCCCGGUAGUCC
rnacentral:rRNA from 1 species